rnacentral:rRNA from 1 species
UGGGGAAUUUUGCACAAUGGGCGAAAGCCUGAUGCAGCGACGCCGCGUGUGCGAUGAAGGCCUUUGGGUCGUAAAGCACUGUCGAUCGGGACGAAAACUCCGGUACUAAUACUAUCGGAGUCUGACGGUACUGAUAAAGGAAGCACCGGCUAACUCUGUGCCAGCAGCCGCGGUAAUACAGAGGGUGCAAACGUUGCUCGGAAUUAUUGGGCGUAAAGCGCGUGUAGGCGGCUUGUUAAGUUGGUCGUGAAAGCCCACAGCUCAACUGUGGAAGUGCAACCAAAACUGGCAAGCUUGGGUUCUGAAGAGGAUGGCGGAAUUCCCAGUGUAGAGGUGAAAUUCGUAGAUAUUGGGAGGAACAUCGGUGGCGAAGGCGGCCAUCUGGGAAGCGACUGACGCUGAGACGCGAAAGCGUGGGUAGCAAACAG